UCUAUCUAUCCUGAGGUUCUUGUAACAUAUUAACAGUGUCAGCAUGGAGAGUACCUUCCAGCUCUAUGAACAUUAAGGAUAAAGCUUCUAGUUGGGUAUUAGCCCAAUUUCUCCGUGUUUGAUGACAUAAGUGAAGGAAGAUCUAAUGAAGUUCCACCUCUGAGUGUGUAUUAACACUUGAUUGCCGUCUGAGAUACAAGGGUCUUACCAUGAUGCUCAUGAUAAUCUCAGACUCAGGCACAGAGGAGGGACUUCUUGCCUGUCUCCUGUGUAUCUUUCAUUGAAGAUACAAACCACACACCAAGCUGGUGGUAUUGUACGAUGAAGUGUUUUCUGCCUUUCAUUUUCCAUUGCUGUUAAACACAUUGGGAAGUAAGCCUGGAAUAACCCUCCUACAAACUAGGAGUAAUAGAGUUUGAACAUU